CCUCCAUCCACUGCAAAUGCUGCAGUUGUGUCAGAAAACUUCUCACCACUAAGGAAAGGCUGGUGAAUAUUUUGUUCUAAACUGUCCUCCAUACAAUCCCAUACAGUACAAAUCACUAAAAACAUGUGAGCCGUGGGUCUCAUCCAAAACCAAUUUUAGUUAAUGGAAAGAAUCUUUCUGACUCUAAUGGGCUUGGAUCCAUCCUUUUGUCAUUUGGAUUUCUACACCCAUGAAGAACAUAAGGCUGCCUCAUGAACUGACAGGCACCGCAAACUAGAGUCAAACUGACCUUUAUGCUCCAGGAAUACAGUUUCCAGGAAUACUUAGUUGUUAAAUGUAUUGGUACAAAAAGAGCUUUUGUGAGAUGCCUUUCCUUCAAAGACAGGUAGGACUCAAGACUUUCAGAGCUGGUUCAAGUUUAUCAGCAGUAUGAAUAACAGAAGAGACUACCAGUAGAGGACCCCUGGAAAACAAGAUUUGCUGUUGCUAUUUUUCCUUCAUUCCACACCAUAACAUCCUUCCUUGGCAGUAGCCAGCCUGGCUUUUCCUCCUGUACAGCGGGAGGAGAAACCAUCUCUGUUCUGCUGCUGCAAUUGCUUUUUGCCACUUUACACAACUCCAUCCAAGCCAAGAAUCCAGCCAAUCUAUCCUCCCACUUGGAAGUAAGAAUCCAAAAGGGAUGAGAAUAGCAAGCCUUUGCUACAAGAUAUGUUCAGUUUGUAUUGAAAAUACUUCCCAAACGGAGACAUAGACGUCACUGUGCUACUUCUACUAGUAUGUAGCCUGAUUCUUACCUUCGUACAUUUCUGCACACUCAAAAAGCUGAAGACUGAUUUUUGGCACUUAGUACUGGACUGCAAAAAGUUCAGGAAUACAACCAUAUAUUAUACAAUAUUAUACAUAUUAUAAAAUGCGUCAUUAGUCUUCAUUGUUAUUAUUACUAUUUUAAUACUAUGAGAGAAAUAUCUAUGUUACACAGACAUUCUAUGCCACUAUAUCAUUACUAAGAAUAUUAAGGUACCUCUAAAGUAAACUGUAAAAGGUCAUUUUUCACAUCACAUUCAUUUCUCAAUAUUUUAGCAAGUGCGUUUUGAGCUCAUGUUGCCAUUCCCCAAAACAUCCACACAGGAGAUGUAAAACAUUCCAGUAUAUCUGGUUGUUGCUACCAGAUGCUCUGUGUGGGAAACGUAGAAUGUUAUUUAAUACUUCCUCAGAGAUGGCAAACAGAUGGUUUAAUGCACUCUUGAAAUGUUUGUGCUUGAGAUCCAAUUAUUUUUGUUCAGUUAACUGUCAACUUUCAGGGUAGAAUGAUGUAACAUUCCUCAUCUUAGGGCCAUAGACUGUAGCAGUCUAACAUAUAAACACUGUUAUACAGCUUGUUUAAGAUUUU